AUUCUACUCCCUCCGUUGCACAAUACAUGCCUUCUAUUUGUCAAAAUAUAUAUGUAUCUAGACAUGUCUUAGUAUAUAGGUACAUCCAUUUUUGGACAAAUGAAAGUCAAGUAUUUUGGAGCGGAGGGAGUACACA
rnacentral:pre_miRNA from 1 species